rnacentral:rRNA from 1 species
ACGGGAAAACUUACCAGGUCCAGACAUAAUGAGGAUUGACAGAUUGAGAGCUCUUUCUUGAUUUUAUGGGUGGUGGUGCAUGGCCGUUCUUAGUUGGUGGAGUGAUUUGUCUGGUUAAUUCCGUUAACGAACGAGACCCCUGCCUGCUAAAUAGCCCAGUGAGUGAAUCUUCACUGACUGCUGGCUUCUUAGAGGGACGUGCAUUCUAUCAGAUGCAGGAAGAUAGGGGCAAUAA